rnacentral:rRNA from 1 species
GUGUCAGCCGCCGCGGUAAUACGAAGGGGGCUAGCGUUGCUCGGAUUUACUGGGCGUAAAGGGCGCGUAGGCGGAUGUUUAAGUCGGGGGUGAAAGCCCAGGGCUCAACCCUGGAACUGCCUUCGAUACUGGACAUCUUGAGUACGGGAGAGGUGAGUGGAACUCCGAGUGUAGAGGUGAAAUUCGUAGAUAUUCGGAAGAACACCAGUGGCGAAGGCGACUCACUGGCCCGUUACUGACGCUGAGGCGCGAAAGCGUGGGGAGCAAACAGGAUUAGAUACCCCUGUAGUCC